rnacentral:lncRNA from 1 species
AAGCGGACAAUGUUGGUUACAAACAGUACAUAAAUUCUGAGAAUGGGGGUGAGGUGGUUAAGAGAAAAGGACGGAAGAAUGGGUAUAGUUAGUGGGAUCGUAAGAUUCCAGUAAGAAAUAGACGCGUCAGCACUCAAGCCAAAACAGCCAACAUCGCAAAGCACUCCAUUUAAAAUGGACAGACGAUCUUACACUAUUUUGACCAUAUAUUACACUUUUUUGACCAUAUCUUGCACCAUUUUGAAUAGUAUUACACCAUUAAAUCUAUCAUUGCAAAAAUAUUAAAUUUGUCCGUAUUGGAUUGGUUGUACAAAACGUUCAAU